AAAAAAAUUUUUUUGGAAAAAAAACCAGGAAAAUAUUUUAAAUAAUCCUGAACAUCAUCUGCAGAUGCAGAUACAUAAUUGAAGCCACUAUGCACACUGGAGACUCAUCGUCGCCUGUUCCGUGAGCCUCCGUUGAGGUUUGCAUCCUGACAGCAUUCCCGCUCCUAGGAGCUAAGGUGCCCCUCGGAAACGCCACACUCCGAAAGAGAUUGCAGAUUAGCAUUUGUGAGCACUGACCAUGAUGGGCAGACAGGAAGAGUGACCAGAAGCAGAGUCGCCCAUGCGAGGGACCUCAGUCCAUCCAAACUGGAGCCUCCUUCCUGCCAGCACUCCCCCAC